AGGAUAAUAGUUAAUUAUAACAUUUAAUUUGCACUUAAAAAGUAUUGGACUCCAAUUUAUCUAA
rnacentral:tRNA from 1 species